CACGUAGGGCGCGAGCGUUGUCCGGAAUUAUUGGGCGUAAAGAGCUCGUAGGCGGCCUGUUGCGUCCGCUGUGAAAGCCCGGGCUUAACCCCGGGUCGCAGUGGAUACGGGCAGGCUAGAGGUAGGUAGGGGAGAAUGGAAUUCCCGGUGUAGCGGUGAAAUGCGCAGAUAUCGGGAGGAACACCGGUGGCGAAGGCGGUUCUCUGGGCCUUACCUGACGCUGAGGAGCGAAAGCGUGGGGAGCGAACAGG
rnacentral:rRNA from 1 species